GUGUUCACUUUAGCAUCACAUUCACUAAACCUGGAACGAUACAGAGCAAGCAAGUUAGCACGGCCCCUGCACAAGGCUGACUCGCAGAUUCCUCAGAGAUUCCAUAUUUAA
rnacentral:snRNA from 1 species